ACAGAAGCGUACAUCCCGCCAGAGUUUUAUGAAAAAGGAUGCUACCGGGCCAAACCAGCGACGGUCUAUUCUCUUGGGGUUCUUCUGUUCACAAUGCUCCAUGGAGAAUUCCCAUCAGCGUAUGACCUGUACUACCUCCAACAUGACUGGUCCAAAUUUACCCUCUCUCAAGAAUGCUGUGAUAUGAUGACGGCUUGUCUGCAUGAGAAUCCAGAGUGCAGAAUUCCUCUAGAAGAGAUGCCUUACCACGACUGGUCCAUGCUGGAGUUCUGAGUCACAUUAGCAGAAUGUUUUGUAUAUUUGAUUUUUGUACAUGUCUGUAAUAAAGAUAUAUUUUAUUGAACUCA